rnacentral:lncRNA from 10 species
CUGGAGGCCCCGGCCCCCCGGCGUUCCCUCUCCGCGCACCUCCCGGCCCGCGCUAGCAGGUAGCAGGCAAGAGUGUGGUUAUCGUUGGACCAGGAUUCAGGAUCUGACUGAGUAGCUGACUCUUAAUCCAGUUUGUGUUGAUCACCAGGAGGAUCUGGACCUCAGUAUUACCACAUCUAGAGCUAUAAUCACAUCCCUGUUAAGCCUUCCUGAGAUCACACCAAAUGUCCUUGAUGGGAAUUGUAAACAACCCUUACUUCUGGUUUCUAAUGAUAUUCCAGGAAAGGAGCCUAACUAGAGUCAGUGAUAUGCCAACUCCACCUUUGCCUUCCACCAUGUUUGGAAGCUCCCUGAGGCCUCACCAGGAGCAGAUGCUCGUCCCAUGCUUCCUAUAAGCCUGCAGAACUGUGAGCCAUAAUAAACUGUGAAUUAUAAAUUGCCUUUAUAGCAAUGCAAAUGGACCAGUACAGAUGGGAUGCUGGGAAGACAGUUGUUUCCACCUUCAGUAAAGUCCGUGGAACACAGUUGUGACUAUAUUCUAGGCCAGCCAAGAUGCUUGUACUCAGAAAGGAGUGGUCUCAGGACCAUAAGAAAGUGAAAAAAUAAAAAUAAGAAAAUAAAGAAGGGAUUGUCAAUGAAUCAGAAUUCAUCAAGGUCAAAGUCUUAGGAAAUUCCUUCAUGAGGAAGUCUAGGGGGGCUAUGGAAAUGAAAUUUUUAAACAAAUAGGUAUGUGGUGCUGGCAGGAAUAAAUUAUGGACUUAUGAAUAUAACAUAAGAUUCUUUAUUACCUGGUCUCACCCGUCUUUCCACCUCUGCCCCCCUUCUUGCCCGACUCUGUGUAUCACCCAUAAUAAACUACUUACAGCUUCCUAGUGUUAAAUUUACCCUAAAGCUGCCUCCUUCAAUAUUUUAAGUUUAACCUAAAGGUUCUUCAUACAUAGUGAACUAUAACCCAAUGAUUAAACAGAUUGUAACCUACUCUUGUACCAGUCACCAAGUUUCAGCCAAUCAGAGGUGGCCAACUGUUCAAACCAUGCUCAAAUAAGGGAAAUGUCAUGGUGUAACUAAUCCAGCUGUUUCUAUACCUUACUUCUGUUUUCUUAGGUCACUUUCCUUUUUUGUCCAUAAAUUCUCUCCAACCACUCAGCAGCACUGGAGUCACUCCAAAGCUAUCCUGGUUCAGGGGUCUGUCUGAUUCACAAGUCAUUCUUUGUUCAAUUGAGCUCUGCUAAAUUUAAUUUGUCUGAAGUUUUUCUUUUAACAGAUGGUGUCAGAAAUGGACCCCAAAGUAGAGCUCCCAGUGAUCCCCCAGGAGCACUGAGUGACCACAAGGGGUACCUGCUGGGCCCGUCCUCUCGCAGUGUCCACUGCUCUCUUACAGCAACUGGAGAUUGUGGCUGCAUUCUCUCUCAGAUUCUGAAGCUCCAUACAUUGCCGUUUUCAGCUGUUCAAGCUUGCUUGAGCAAAUUUUUGAUCUUAGCUGAGUUUGGAAGUCGAUAGACAUUGGACUGGGUCCAGGAUUUGAUUGGAUCUGAUAAUUAACUGGCUUGGAUCCAGUUAGAUGCCUCGGUUAUCUGACUGGGUCAGAUAGAAACCGCCAGUAAAUAUUUUAAUAACAAUACUGCAGGGGUAUGAACUCUGGCUUUAAGAAACUCACAAGGAAUUUUAUGUUCUAUACCCUUUGUUUCUUUUUCUUGUGUGCUUCGGUCAGGAAAAAUCAUUAGUCAAGUUAAUCAAGGGGAUCUGAGAGCCAAAUACAAGAUUCAACGUAAAAAUGGAAUCCUUGGGCUAGGCGUGGUGGCUCAGGCCUGUAAUCCCAGGACUUUGGGAGGCUGAGGCAGGCGGAUCACCUGACCUUAGGAGUUCGAGACCAGUCUGGCCAACAUGGUGAAACCCCGUCUCCACUAAAAAUACAAAAAUUAGCCAGGCGUGGUGGUGGGCACCUGUAAUCCCAGCUACUUUGGAGGCUGAGGCAGGAUAAUCACUUGAACCCAGGAGGCAGAGGUUGCAGUGAUCUGAGAUUGCACCACUGCACUCCAGCCUGGGCAAAAGAGCGAGACUCCAUCUCAUAAAUAAAUACAUAAAUAAAUAAAGAAAUCCUUAAUUUCUGCGGAACUGAGUGCUCUACCUUCUGGCUACACCUACGUAUACCUGUAUGAGGUAUAGGCCCUGGAAGCAGCAAACACUUACAGAAAUGGUGAAAUCUUACUAAAGACAGAUUCUUUUAAAAGAUUCUUUGUAAAAGGCAAAUAAAAAGCUUAAGUGACUAAUCAGAAAAAUUAGGUCUUCUAACCUUUUGUCAUUGUUACUGUCUUGCCCUGAAAGGGAAAAGAAAGCUGGAUAAAGUAUUUAUAGAAGAUAGAGGACCUGUGGUGGCUCAUGCCUGUAAUCCAAGGUGGAAGGAUUGCUUGAGGCCAGAAGUUCAAGACCAGUCCAAGCAACAUAGCAAGGCCCCAUCUCUACAAAAAAUGAAAAUAAAAUUAGCCGAGCGUGAUGGCUCAUGCCUGUAGUUCUAGCUUCUAGAGAGGCUGAGGCAGGAGGAUUGCUUGAGUCCAGGAGUUCAAGAUUACAGUGAGCUAUGGUCACACCACUGCACUCCAGCCUGGGUGAUGGAGUGAGACUGUCUCAAUAAAAAGACAAAAAGGCUGGCCAGGGGCAGUGGUUCAUGCCUGUAAACCCAGCACUUUGGGAGGCAAAGGCAGGAGGAUUGCUUAAGCCCAGGAAUUUGAGAUCAGCCUGGACAACAUGGUCAAGGAAGCUUUUCCUGAUCCACUAACUAAGGACAAUCAAACCCUUCAUGAUCUAGAAUCUGGAGACUGUGUCUUCUGGGAAUAGUAUCAGAGAAAGACUGCCCUUACUGCCCACAUGUAGCAAAACUUUGAGACGUUGAAUUAUGGGUCCAUAAUCUCACAACUCAGAGGGGCACCUCUAGACUCUUGGAACUGUAUAUCUAUUGGAGACUUUAAGGUAAAGCUGAACAGAGAGACGUUUUUCUCCAGAAGCAGACAGCACCAUAGUCAUGGACAGCUUUCCCAAGAUCACAGAUCAAGACUUCUCUGCCGUCAUGAGACUCAUAACCUCUUAAUUUUUUCUUGCUUAUGCUUCUGUGAACAAUAGAAUUGGAAAAGGGGUGGUCCCGCGUGCACCCAUAGGGUAUACUUUUAUUUGUGGAGGAUUUUGCUGCCAACCUUAUACAUGGGCAAACUUAUGCCUUCAUGGAUGGAAGAUAAAGGGCUAAUAUGGGUUAGAAAUUUUAAUGGUACCUUUGUUUCUCCAUAAUCAUUCAGAAACAGAACACUGGUCCACUCUUGUUAACCUACAUCAUAGGUUGAAGAGAACAUUGCCAGGAGGCCUUCAUCCUUCCAGAUGGGCACCAUUUGUUGGGUCUUUUUCCGUGGUAUGAAGAAAAUGAAGCAAUGAUUAGAAAUUGGUCCCUCGGCCGGGCACAAUGGCUCAUGCCUGUAAUCCCAUCACUUUGGCAGGCCGAGGCGGGUGGAUCACCUGAGGUCAGGAGUUUGAGACCAGCCUGACCAAUGUGGUGAAACGCCAUCUCUACUAAAAAUACAAAAAUUAGCUGGGUGUGAUGGUGCACACCUGUAAUCCAGCUACUCGGGAGGCUGAGACAGGAGAAUUGCUUGAACCUGGGAGGCAGAGGUUGCAGUGAGCCAAGAUCACCCCACUGCAUUCCAGGUUGGGCAACAGAGCAAGACUCUGUCUCAAAAAAAAAAGAAGAAAGAAAGAAAUUGAUCCCUCAUAAUAGGCUGUAUAGCAGAUUCUACUGCAAAGGCUAUGGUUGCACAACAGACUUCUUUGAAUUUGCUUGCUAAACUUUUACUGGAUAAUACUGGGAUUACAGGUGUGAGCCACUGUGCCCAGCCUCUCCUGUUUAACUGUAUUCAUUCUAAUGUUUACUUACUUCUUUAAUUUGUAAAAUUGGGUCACUUAGAGUUUUUUUAGCCUAUCUUGCCAUUUAGCCACUGUUACUGAUAAUUUGGAUGGAAAAGAAAAAUAAAUUAUAUCACCUCUCAUCUUCAGUGUAUAUAUGUGUUAACUUAGUAAAUAUAGUAUUCUUUCUCGUUCCUAAUGAAAAUUUAGUUUACGUACUGAAACACUGCAAACUUUUAUAAAUAUUGUGAUGUAUUUGACCAAUACAAAGGAUCUUUUUAGAAACAGCAAACAGUUCUCAGAUUAUAGGAAUUACUCAUUUAAUGAUAGUUUCUUCUU